GAGAAGUGAUAUCUCUGGGUGAAGAUUGCUCCUGUCUCUAGCCUUCAAUUUCAGAGAAGGUCUGCGGGAGGAAAGGUUUUUAUUCUAUAGGAGGCCUGGUUUAGAGCUGGAGUUCAGGUCAGACCCUAGAAUGGUUGCAUGGAAGGAAUUGCCAAGAAACAGGAAAUCUGAUUUCACUGAGACACCAUGUAAUUUUCCUCAAUUGCAGCAGGAAUUGUCUGGGAAAUCUGGCUCGCUGUGGUCACCUUGCGCUGUCCACAGAAAUAGAAGCAGAGAAGAACUUCAUGUUAUUCAGAAGAAUAGUGAAAAUGAGUCACAUACACCGAACUACUGUUUGUGAAAGUCUACUAGCGUCUCCAAGGAUAGCAAUAUCUGCAGG
rnacentral:lncRNA from 1 species